AAAUCGUAGUUUCCUGACUAAAUCGCAAAAACUUGUUUUCCACAAAAACCACAAAACGUAUUUUCCCGCCGAAACUGCAAAAACUCAUUUUUCCGCAAAAAUGCGUUUUUUCGACAAAACCACAAAAAAUGUUUUCUCAUUUCGAUCAACUUGGUCUUAACUUAAAAAUAAUUCAUUAUAAAGAUGUUGGGUUGAUGGGUCAACCAUUAAUCCAUCUAACCUAUUUAAUUUAAUGGGUCAUGGGUCAAUCCAACUCAUUUAUUAAAUGGAUUGGGUUGACCCAUGACUCAUUAACAAUAAACCCAUUUGGGUUAUGGGUUGGGUUGACCCAUUUGACCCAUUUUGACACCCUAGUUGUCUGUAAUGGUGAUGAAAUGAACAUUGGAAGGCACGUAGUUUGAUUAGGUUGAAAUGUGUUGAUAUUUUCAUAUCUUAAAGUAUUAGCGCUUUCAUGUUCAAAAACUGAAGUUUAUGGAGUUGGUUAGUGUUUAGUUAGGUAGUUGUUAGUAUAUAAAUUAAAAAAUGUGUAAGGAAAAAGAUAUAAAAUUUUUUUCUUAAAAAUUAACAAUUAUCCGAACAAUAAAUUAAAAUAUUUUAUAUUUUCCCUAAAUGAAUUUCAGAAAUAUAGAAUUGUAAUAAAAUGUAUUUUUAAAAAUUAAUAACUAUAGAAAUUUAUAAAAUUAUAUAGUUACAAAAUCAUUUAUUUUUUGAAUUUUUACUGGAGUUUGUUAAAAAUAAUUUGUGGCGGACAAAAAAAGUUUGAAAUAGGUGGACCAAAUAAAUAAAUUUUGUUAUAGUUUAUAGCCCAAUAUAGUAAUUAAGUAAAACCGGGGUUUUAAAACAUUUUCUUUCAAAAGAACUCGGCCUUGAAUCUGUAGUUUUGUCUGCUUCUGAGAAAACUCAUGUUUUUCCGUUUCUGGAAAGUCGACACAAUUUUCUUCCUGUCAGUACUUUGCGUUUUUAGUUUGUGAGAUUGAAAAUGAUAAUUGUUUUACAGCCUGAUUGAUUAGAGAUUUGCUUACAUCAGCUCCGUCUUCCUCCGGUGUAGUCAUUGAUCUUCGGAGGUUUCGUUGGCGUCGAAAGUUAGACCUGCAAGAGAGAGGGUUUGAAUAUGUUAAUUUGCUUGUUUGUUUUGUUAUUCGUUUGGGUUGGUUAUAUGUGAACUGAAACCAUGGCUUCUGAUUUAUGAUUUGAUGUUUUAUUUGUUAACAUAUCGAUUGAUUGUGACAGGCCAUUGUAGGCCUUUCUGUACACGAUGUUGGCUAUCGUCCUACACCCAUCCUCAUUUCUUCUCAUGUUUAAAAUCUUGAGGUCCUUGGUUUUAGUGACUCUUGACAGUGCCACAUAUAGGUGACCAUGGCUGAAGACUGGUUUAGGCAAGUAUAGAGCAAUGUUUGACAAAGUCUGUCCUUGGAUUUUAUUUACUGUCAUUGCAUAACAAACCCGGAUUGGAAACUGGCGUCGUUUCAAGGUGAAUGGAUGGUUGGAUUCUGGUGGUGACAAUAUGAUCCAUGGUAGCAGGAUAUGAUCCGUCUUGGUUGUUGUUGUAAGGAUUUCGGUUUUAAUAACCUGACCAGAGAUAGCUACGCGCAAGAUUUAGUAUAGUUCAACAAAAAACAAUUGAUAUUUGUUUGUUCUUGUUUUGUUUGUAACAGUGUUUUGAAUGAUUAGUGGGGCUUAUGGUCUGUUUCUUUUUAAGUGGCUCUUUGGAUCGCAUUAGUUUAAUGUUUCAGUCUUUUGUUUGCAGUUGCUUCCUGUUGAAGAAGUUUUUCCUACUUACCUUAUGAUAAGAUUGGGCCUAUUUUAAGUAAAUUGGAGUUAAUAUAUACGUGGAGUUCUGUUUGUGGACUUACUUAUUUGGAUUCGUUGGGACAUUAGAUCUAGUGUCCCAGCGUUAGUUCACGUGUGGCAGUACUAUGAAAUGUGAAGUUUGGUGGUUACAUUCUACGAACUGAUGUUUGAUGCUUCAUGUAUUCAGUAUCCAAACAGGCUUUUUGUUGUAACACUUUUUUUUGUAACACUGGUAUACAAUCAGGUUAGUCCUCCAUUUUAACAGCCUCAUUAUUGUAGUUUCUCAUUUGUGUGAUAAAUGAGGAGAUAUCAGCUUGGUUAUGGCUAACUUCUUUAAAAUCGUGAUUAUUGCUUUUUGAUAUUUUAACGCCUCAUCAGAAGUUUUUAUUGUUGUACGUUGGGUAUGUGACAGUGUAGAUUUAAUUAAAAUGAGCUUUGUUGGACCCAAUUUCAGUCAAUACAUUAAUGGGCCACAAUCAAAGACAUGGGCCGCGAGAACCGAAGCCCAUAGCGAGUAUUCGAGCUCGAGACAGAGACCCCGAGGUCUCGGAGAUCGCGGAGCGGUUACGAAGAUCACGGUGUCGACCCACUAUAAAGAAGGAGGAACGGAUACGAAGGAGGACACGUUGAAAACCCUAGAGAGAGCUACACCCACACUUCGACCUUGUUUUCAUCAACCUUUAGAUCUUUUCUUUGAACGAUCUGAUUGUAACAUUCGAUCUCGUUUUGCUCAUUGUAUUCGAACUCAUUCAUCAAUAAAAGUCUAUUUUUGCCUACCGGAAACUGAUUAUAUCGUUGUGUUCUAAAGAUAUUAUUGCCUACAUCAUUUAUCUUAUCCUGAUUAAACUCCCGAUCCCUAUCAGAUUCUUAGUGUAGAUUUUAGGAUCUACAGGCUUGUAUUUGAGUUUUUGUUAACUAUGGUCAUGGUUUUACAAUGUGGCAUGUAAUUCUGUAUUCUGGUUCAACCGGUCGUCGGGUUUAAUAAGCACCAUAUAGUGUUCUAUAAAGUGGAGUGAGCUUAUUUCUUAGGCUUCUCGUAACAGUAAGUUUAUUUUUAUUUGGGAUUAAAUAAGUUUUGGCUAGCCUGUGUUUUUUUGUCAAAGUAAAAAUCAGUUCAAGAUGGCUAUCAGUUAGUACACAUUAGUUAUGAUCAUAAGGUUUGUAGCUAUCGACGUAUCAAAGAGAAGAAGGCUAAUAGAAGGAUUUUCUCAAUAAUAACCGUCCACACCCACCCGUUCUAAUUUUUGGUGAAGUAGGCUUCUCUGGUACUUCUAUUUUUCGCACCAUCAGUACUUGGAUAAAUAUAAACAUUUCCGUGAAAUGUAAUACACUUAUUAAUAAUAAAUAUAAAAACAAAUGUCAAGUCAAAAAUGUUAGAAAUUGUUAGUCUGUAGAAAAUAUAUAUACUAUACUAAAAGGGAUAUAUGAACUUCAGGGAGGACGUCCACGUCAGCUUGGAAAAUCAUCCAAUAGGGAGGUUGCUUUUUGCCACGUCACACGGAUCAAAGUGUUAUUGGGCUUCUUUUUUUUUUACGAUCCCGCAUGUUAAUCUGAAUGGCCCAGAAAACCCCAUUUCCUUUUGCUCUUCCUCUUUUUCGUUUCCGUUUGACGAUAUGAAAAUAUAAAUAACUCUUCGGCUCUUAAGCACUCCGACCACCACAUGUGUAACGUCAUCCGCUUUUCCCUUACAUCUCCUUUAAUCUUAACAUUUACAUCGAACCCACUACUAUUCCGUUUUCAACUUUUUAGGAACAUAAUUUUUUCUAAUUUUCAUUUGAUCUGAACAAAAGAGGAUCAGCAGAAGGACGGUUCGAAAAGAAGUUGAACAUGAACGUGAGGCUUAAUCAUCAAGUUAACAAGUUAUUAAACUUCAGAUCAAGGUCGAUGAUAAGACAUGUCAAUUGUCGAUGAGAAGACAAGUCAAAUCGUUGGAUGCUCUCUUCAAGACCUUUGAUUGUGGCUCUGUAUCACGUGUUCAUCCACUCAGUUUAAUCGGCGAUGAAAGCUCACAAAACCUGAUCUUCCACAAUCCAAUCGACAAACCAAAGCAGAAUAUCAAAAGAUCUACAGUCAACCUAGCUUCGGAGCUGACAAGAACGUGGAUAAUAACUAGCAGUGGCUGUCGACUAAAGGUGCAUCACUCGGUUGAUACAAUGCGAGUUGCAAGAAAAGUUUCACGUUAAAUGUGCAAAACUGAUGCCAAAAUGCAGAUGGGACAAUGGAUCAAUGCAUGUCUGAAAAACAUAGAAUGUAUAACCGAGCUACAUGAGAUUUCCAUAGAUGAUCAUGGAACACGACAAGGACCUUAUAUUGGAAGACAUAGCCUUGAACAAGAAACCAAAACUUUAUAAUGGACUGAAGUUUUACAUUAUUGGAUAUUUCAAGCUUGCUUACAAAGGAUAUCUUCAAGAUAUAGUAGCAGGAGGAACAAUGGAGGUGAUCCAUUUCUACUGAUGACUUGAACAGUUAUAGUGUGUAGUUUUGAGCCAAGCAAGAAGAAAACUCUGACACAAAGACGAAUUGAUGUUGAAGUCUUGGAGAGCAGGAGCAAGAACUGCAAACAGUUCAUGGGUCUUGGAUUCUAUUGCAGAUUGCCAAAUUCUAGACUUGAUAUAAUAAAUUUGUGAGAUUACAUCUUUGGGUAUUCUGUUUUAGUAAUUUCAUUUGUUUCCUUGCCGUUAAUGCUUGCAGAUCUUAGAUUUGUAGAUGAAACUGAGAGUGUUGACUCAUAUAGUUUUGCAUCAUAACUCAGCAAAAAAGUUAAAUAUAUAUAAUUUAUGAUUAUGAUGCAGUACUCACUUAGCGAAUGAAUGCAAUAAGAUGUAGUACUCAUUUUUAUUUUAAUA